CAUCGGAUGGGCGAAGCCUGACCGCAAUGCCGCGUGCAGGAAGAAGGCCUUCGGGUUGUAAACUGCUUUUGUACGGAACGAAACGGCCUUUUCUAAUAAAGAGGGCUAAUGACGGUACCGUAAGAAUAAGCACCGGCUAACUACGUGCCAGCAGCCGCGGUAAUACGUAGGGUGCGAGCGUUAAUCGGAAUUACUGGGCGUAAAGCGUGCGCAGGCGGUUCUAUAAGACAGAUGUGAAAUCCCCGGGCUCAACCUGGGAAUGGCAUUUGUGACUGUAGAGCUAGAGUACGGUAGAGGGGGAUGGAAUUCCGCGUGUAGCAGUGAAAUGCGGGGAUAUGCGGAGGAACACCGAUGGCGAAGGCAAUCCCCUGGACCUGUACUGACGCUCAUGCACGAAAG
rnacentral:rRNA from 1 species